rnacentral:tRNA from 1 species
GCACCGGUCGCCAAGUGGCUAAGGCACGAGCCUGCAAAGCUCGCAUCGCCGGUUCAACUCCGGCCCGGUGCUCCA